GACGAACGCUGGCGGCGUGCUUAACACAUGCAAGUCGAACGAUGAAGAAAAGAAUUGAAGCUUCGGCAGAAAUUCAUUUCGGAUUAGUGGCAGACGGGUGAGUAACGCGUGAGCAACCUACCUCUUACAAAGGGAUAGCCUCGGGAAACCGGGAUUAAUACCAUAUAACAUUGCGACGAAGCGUUUCGAUGCAAUCAAAGCUACGGCGGUAAGAGAUGGGCUCGCGUCCCAUUAACCAGAUGGUGAGGUAACGGCUCACCAUAGUAACGAUGGGUAACCGGCCUGAGAGGGUGAACGGUCACACUGGAACUGAGACACGGUCCAGACUCCUACGGGAGGCAGCAGUGGGGAAUAUUGCACAAUGGAGGGAACUCUGAUGCAGCGACGCCGCGUGAGUGAUGAAGGAAUUCGUUUCGUAAAACUCUGUUCUAUGGGAAGAAAAGGACUGUACCAUAGGAGAAAGCGCCGGCUAAAUACGUG
rnacentral:rRNA from 1 species